AGGAGCCCCUCCCUCUAAAAGCCCUCUGUGUGGGGAAGAUGAGAGCCAGAGCAAAGCUCAGAGGAACCGACCUGGAGCUGGAUCUGGACCUAGACCUGUAUCUGGAUCCAGCUGUGUGUCCAACAGGAGUGACAGAUCAAAGGGUCAUGGUCCUAACUUCAAAGACAUCAGUGCAGGAGUGGAACAGAUCCAACAGAGAUCUGGAUCCAGCUAUGUGUCCAACAGGAGUGACAGAUCAAAGGGUCAUGGUCCUAACUUCAAAGACAUCAGUGCAGUAGUGGAACAAGAGGAUCAGCAGAGUUCAGAGACUCCCAGUGGUCCGUCUGUCCAGCAGCAUCAAACACAGCUGGAUUCCAUCUUUCUGCUGCUGGAGGACAACAUUGUCACUUUUGUGAAGAAGGAGCUGAAGA